CCAGGGCCAGCAGGAGGAGAAGGAGGAGACAGACACCAUCACCCUGUUCCUGGAGCCAGUGCCUGUGAACCAGAAUGUCUCCCAGGCUUCGUCUGAUGCUGGGGAGUGAUUUUCAGGUAUAUGGCUGCUGUAUCCAUUAUGAACACAUAACUCCAUUUAAAGAUGAACUAAGGAAGCCAAGCACACAUUGCAUCUAGUCAUCUGUUUGUUAAAGAAAAUGUAAUGAUGCACUUUCCAGAGAAGUGGUUCCCACAAAACCUGCCAAUACCUUAGAGACAUGCAAGAUGCAAGAGAGAUGCAAGCCUAUGUAUGCAUGACUGUAAAGUCAACUCCCUUAACAGUUAGGCAACUGCAACAAAUAAGAGAUGAAAUGGAGGAUGAUGAAUAACUGGGAAGCCUUAAAGAAGUGAUCAUUAAAGAAUCACCUGAAGAAAUAAGCAGUUGCCGUCCAAGCCUAAGAGACUAUCGGAACUGCAGACAUGAACUGAAUGAGACAGAUGGGAUGAUUUUCAAGGGCAGUAAGGUUGUGAUUCCAAUGAUUCUCUGAAAGGAAAUGCUACAGAAGAUUCAUGAGGGUCAUUUAGAAAUUGAGAAGUGCAAACAACAAGCACGACAGGUGCUAUAUUGCCAUAGAUCAAUCACAACAUCACUAAUGAGGUAGCAAACUCUUUUUUCUGCUUGAAAAAUCAAGCCAUACCAAAAGACAGAGCCACUGAGACAUCAAACAGUUCCACUAAGGCCUUAUGAGAAGGUCGACACUGACUUAUUUACCUGACAAUGAAAGGAUUAUUUAAUAGUCACAGAUUAUUAUUCUUGGUAUCCAGAAGAUUGCCUAUUGCACAGGACCAAUAGUAAGUCAAUGGCAGUUGACAUGAAGGGAAUCCUUUCUCCAGACAUUGUCUUCCAGAUAAAGUCUUAAAAUAAUGGGCCACAAUUUUCCAAUGUAGAUUUCAGGCAAUUUGCCACAGAUUGGGAUUUUCAUCAAAAUCAUCAAGUCCAAAUAACCCGCAAGUCAAAUGGAAUGUGCAAAGGUCUAUACAGGCAGUAAAGAACGUUAUGAAAAAACCUCAAAACUUUUGACAAAGGGUGAUUUGUAUAAAAAUAUGUAUUGGUCCACCAAAUAACACUUCUGAAGAAUGGCUUUUCUCCAGCUGACUUUUUAAUGGGAAGAAGGAUUAGAUCUAAUUUACCAGUUACUGAGAAUUUGCUGAAAUUUCAUAAAAAUGAAACAAUAUGAAGAUAAAAGAAAAUUAGAAGUGGAAGGAGGAAUAUUAUUUUGAGAAAUAGACACAUGACUCUAAUCUCUUCAUGCUAGUGAUAGAGGAAUGCCUGAGGAAUCAUACCUCUAAUACUUUGUUAAUUAUUUUUUCUUGAAGAGGAACAAUGUAGAGGUAUGUUUAUGAAAGACUGUGAUUUGGAGAUGCUUCCUCAUAAGGGACUGUGUUGUGAGAUUGGAAAUUUGGGAUGUGCCUUGGAAGUGAGUGCUGGAAACAAUGCA